AUUUGCUCUGCUGGAGUUUUGCAAGUGAGCUCAGGAUACAGUGCUUUCUAUUAGAUGUAUGCUGAAAAGGACAGCUUUCUUCAAUCAAAAAUAAUUUCCUAAGUCUUAACAGAUGCUUUGUCAUAUGUAUUUAUAUAUACGUGAGCGUAUACAGAUUUCAGUGUGCUUCAAAAAAGAUUCCACCUGCUUGUGAGGAAAUCCAGAUCUCUGCGGGAAGUUCAUGCGGUAAUUUAACUCAUCAUGUCCUGUAGCCUUCCUCAAAGCAGUAGGCAGUAAAAUCUGUCAACUGAUGCUAUGAACUCUCACCAAGACUGAGCUGAAGAACAAGAACAAGAUUUGUCAGUUAUGUGCUGCAUGACUUUACUGAAGACUAGAAUAGAAUGUGUUUUCACAUUAUUUAAAUUCUAGCUUCUAAGAGGAAGAAGAAUAAAUAUACAAUAUUGUGACUUACUUAUUAAACAUCAUCUUGAUUUUUCUUAAAAGUGCAUGUUCAGAAGAUUCAACUAAAUUUUUUUAGUAAAAUAACAUAAAAAAUGCAAUUACAGGAUUAAGGCAGUUUGUAAGAGUGUGUAGGAAUAAAAGGUAUAAUAUAAUUAAUCUUUCAUGUCUCUGAUGGAAGACUCACUUCCAAAAUAAUUGCUCAAUGAGUAAUUCAGUGCAUAGAAUAAACGAAUGAAAAGAACAUCAGUGCAGUAAGUGAAACAAAGUAAUCACAGGAAAGCCUUCCCAAAUAUUUACACUUGCUUAUAUGAUGUGCUUAAUUGACUGUAUUUUGAUUCUCUAAAUGCCAGUCAGAGGCAGAAGAAAAAGUUAGUUUUUUAACCUCUUGUGACACAUCAAGAGGGAAAUACUCUUGUAUUUCAUGUAGUGCUUUGUCAGAACAAGAUCUAUUUGUAAAGAGGGAAAUGAAUUAAAUCCUUGCAACUUCA